rnacentral:rRNA from 1 species
GUUUGAUCCUGGCUCAGGAUGAACGCUAGCUACAGGCUUAACACAUGCAAGUCGAGGGGCAGCAUGGUCUUAGCUUGCUAAGGCCGAUGGCGACCGGCGCACGGGUGAGUAACACGUAUCCAACCUGCCGUCUACUCUUGGACAGCCUUCUGAAAGGAAGAUUAAUACAAGAUGGCAUCAUGAGUCCGCAUGUUCACAUGAUUAAAGGUAUUCCGGUAGACGAUGGGGAUGCGUUCCAUUAGAUAGUAGGCGGGGUAACGGCCCACCUAGUCUUCGAUGGAUAGGGGUUCUGAGAGGAAGGUCCCCCACAUUGGAACUGAGACACGGUCCAAACUCCUACGGGAGGCAGCAGUGAGGAAUAUUGGUCAAUGGGCGAGAGCCUGAACCAGCCAAGUAGCGUGAAGGAUGACUGCCCUAUGGGUUGUAAACUUCUUUUAUAAAGGAAUAAAGUCGGGUAUGGAUACCCGUUUGCAUGUACUUUAUGAAUAAGGAUCGGCUAACUCCGUGCCAGCAGCCGCGGUAAUACGGAGGAUCCGAGCGUUAUCCGGAUUUAUUGGGUUUAAAGGGAGCGUAGAUGGAUGUUUAAGUCAGUUGUGAAAGUUUGCGGCUCAACCGUAAAAUUGCAGUUGAUACUGGAUAUCUUGAGUGCAGUUGAGGCAGGCGGAAUUCGUGGUGUAGCGGUGAAAUGCUUAGAUAUCACGAAGAACUCCGAUUGCGAAGGCAGCCUGCUAAGCUGCAACUGACAUUGAGGCUCGAAAGUGUGGGUAUCAAACAGGAUUAGAUACCCUGGUAGUCCACACGGUAAACGAUGAAUACUCGCUGUUUGCGAUAUACGGCAAGCGGCCAAGCGAAAGCGUUAAGUAUUCCACCUGGGGAGUACGCCGGCAACGGUGAAACUCAAAGGAAUUGACGGGGGCCCGCACAAGCGGAGGAACAUGUGGUUUAAUUCGAUGAUACGCGAGGAACCUUACCCGGGCUUAAAUUGCAGAUGAAUUACGGUGAAAGCCGUAAGCCGCAAGGCAUCUGUGAAGGUGCUGCAUGGUUGUCGUCAGCUCGUGCCGUGAGGUGUCGGCUUAAGUGCCAUAACGAGCGCAACCCUUGUUGUCAGUUACUAACAGGUCAUGCUGAGGACUCUGACAAGACUGCCAUCGUAAGAUGUGAGGAAGGUGGGGAUGACGUCAAAUCAGCACGGCCCUUACGUCCGGGGCUACACACGUGUUACAAUGGGGGGUACAGAGGGCCGCUACCACGCGAGUGGAUGCCAAUCCCCAAAACCUCUCUCAGUUCGGACUGGAGUCUGCAACCCGACUCCACGAAGCUGGAUUCGCUAGUAAUCGCGCAUCAGCCACGGCGCGGUGAAUACGUUCCCGGGCCUUGUACACACCGCCCGUCAAGCCAUGGGAGCCGGGGGUACCUGAAGUGCGUAACCGCGAGGAGCGCCCUAGGGUAAAACUGGUGACUGGGGCUAAGUCGUAACAAGGUAGCCGUACCGGAAGGUGCGGCUGGAACACCUCCUUUCU